rnacentral:rRNA from 1 species
AGUCGAACGGUAACAGGAAACAGCUUGCUGUUUCGCUGACGAGUGGCGGACGGGUGAGUAAUGUCUGGGAAACUGCCUGAUGGAGGGGGAUAACUACUGGAAACGGUAGCUAAUACCGCAUAACGUCGCAAGACCAAAGAGGGGGACCCUCGGGCCUCUUGCCAUCGGAUGUGCCCAGAUGGGAUUAGCUUGUUGGUGGGGUAACGGCUCACCAAGGCGACGAUCCCUAGCUGGUCUGAGAGGAUGACCAGCCACACUGGAACUGAGACACGGUCCAGACUCCUACGGGAGGCAGCAGUGGGGAAUAUUGCACAAUGGGCGCAAGCCUGAUGCAGCCAUGCCGCGUGUAUGAAGAAGGCCUUCGGGUUGUAAAGUACUUUCAGCGGGGAGGAAGGGAGUAAAGUUAAUACCUUUGCUCAUUGACGUUACCCGCAGAAGAAGCACCGGCUAACUCCGUGCCAGCAGCCGCGGUAAUACGGAGGGUGCAAGCGUUAAUCGGAAUUACUGGGCGUAAAGCGCACGCAGGCGGUUUGUUAAGUCAGAUGUGAAAUCCCCGGGCUCAACCUGGGAACUGCAUCUGAUACUGGCAAGCUUGAGUCUCGUAGAGGGGGGUAGAAUUCCAGGUGU